UACGUAGGGUGCGAGCGUUGUCCGGAAUUAUUGGGCGUAAAGGGCUCGUAGGCGGUUCGUCGCGUCGGGAGUGAAAACCCAGGGCUUAACCCUGGGCUGGCUUCCGAUACGGGCAGACUAGAGGUAUGCAGGGGAGAACGGAAUUCCUGGUGUAGCGGUGAAAUGCGCAGAUAUCAGGAGGAACACCGGUGGCGAAGGCGGUUCUCUGGGCAUUACCUGACGCUGAGGAGCGAAAGUGUGGGGAGCGAACAGG
rnacentral:rRNA from 1 species